rnacentral:rRNA from 1 species
UACGUAGGAGGCGAGCGUUGUCCGGAGUUACUGGGCGUAAAGCGCGCGCAGGCGGUCAGAUUAGUCUGUCGUGACAGUCGUCGGCUCAACUGACGAAGUACGAUGGAAACUGUUUGACUUGAGGGCUUCAGAGGGACACGGAAUUCCGGGUGGAGUGGUGAAAUGCGUAGAUAUCCGGAGGAACACCAAAGGCGAAGGCAGUGUCCUGGGAAGUACCUGACGCUCAGGUGCGAAAGCUAGGGGAGCGAACAGG